rnacentral:lncRNA from 1 species
AUUAUAUUUGUCUAAUAAAGAGUGUCGUAUUUCAUCAUUUUUCAGUAAAAAAUGACUCAAAACAAUUAUAGUCCUACAUUGCUAUAAUUCCAGAUAUUUCAGAUGACUGAAGCAAAAAUUGAGAUCAGUUUUGGAUUCUGCGGUCAUAAAAAUAUUCGAUUAUUGUCUGCCCUUCAUUUGUCUAAAAUUUCCCCCGCUAAUGAACCUUCUAUGUAAUUGGUGGCGAUGUUAAGAAACGAGCACAGUAGAUAAAGGCCAGCUAGUGUACACCCAAGAGAUCAAAGUACUCCUUUGUUCAACACAUCAUAUUUAAAAAGAUAUCACACUGUUAUUACAAUUAUUUAUUUAUUUAACAUCCAAAGUUUAUUAAUUUAUCUCAUAGAGUUCCUGGAAUAGAUGAGAAAAUAGAACACAAAUUAAAUAAAUAAAAAAACACAAAUAAUAAAUGCAUGCACAGCACACACACUCACAAUAAUAUUUAUAUCUUUAUUACAUACACAAACACAACAGAGCAAAUCUGAUAAGUGAUAAUGUAAAACAAUAAAUAAAAGAAGAAACAUUUGAAAAAUGAAAAAAGGGAGACACAGAAAAACAAAACAAAAAAAGAAGAAAUGAUAUUGAGGUUUAACAGUUGAAGUCAAUAAAAUUAUGAUUGCCUGUGGUUUAUAUAGUUCAAAAUCACCCACCUUGACUAUUUUAGGAGAAGGGUUGAGCGUUGGCUUUAAUUUAGUUGCACAACAAGUAAUUCAAAACAAGUAUUUCAGAAGGGCAAGACUCAAAAGAACUCCAUCAUUGAAUUGACUUGCGCAAGACACAGCCCAGCGUACAGUAAGAAGGCUAUAUAAUGAGCAUAGUCUACGACGUCUAAAACCAAUUGAAAGAGGAAUGGGAAUACAAGAGAAAAUCCCAAAAGUCCUGGAUUGAUAAAAACCGUAUUCCCAGAUUCAUCGUUGCCAUGAAACGUUCCCUGAAGGCAUUCCCUGGGACUUUGAUUAACGAUCUUGACAAAAAGUGCUAGGCUAGCAGUACAACAAUCUUCUGGUCCAUAAAAAAUGACCUAAGGAUGAAGUCAUGUAGCCUCCCAUGCUAACCGAAUCAUCUUUAAAAUACCUUAUAAAAGAAAGAUAACUGAAGAACAGCUGAAAGUUAAAUAACGUUGAAAGCAAUUUAUAGUCUUUUAAUAUCUCAAAAAUAAGUCAAUUUCUUAAUCACUUUUGUUUACUUUUUAAUUUUAUUAUUUGAAUAAACGUGACUCAUACUAAA